CCUACGGGCUGCAGCAGUGGGGAUUAUUGGACAACGGGCGAAAGCCUGAUCCAGCAAUGCCGCGUGUGUGAAGAAGGUCUUCGGAUUGUAAAGCACUUUCGACGGGGACGAUGAUGACGGUAGCCGUAGAAGAAGCCCCGGCUAACUUCGUGCUAGCAGCCGAGGUAAUACUAAGGGGGCUAGCGUUGCUCGGAAUGACUGGGCGUAAAGGGCGCGUAGGCGGUUUAUGCAGUCAGAUGUGAAAUCCCCGGGCUUAACCUGGGAACUGCAUUUGAGACGCAUAGACUAGAGGUCGAGAGAGGGUUGUGGAAUUCCCAGUGUAGAGGUGAAAUUCGUAGAUAUUGGGAAGAACACCGGUGGCGAAGGCGGCAACCUGGCUCGAUACUGACGCUGAGGCGCGAAAGCGUGGGGAGCAAACAGGAUUAGAUACCCUGGUAGUC
rnacentral:rRNA from 1 species